GUCUAUGGCCAUACCACCCUGAACACGCCCGAUCUUAUUUGAUCUUGAAAACUAAGCAGGGUAGGGUUGGGCCUAGUUAAUACUUGGAUGGGAGACUGAAAAAAUGUACACA
rnacentral:rRNA from 1 species